CAUGGCGGGUGCUAGACUGCAAGUCGAGCGCUGAUUGCAGGGUAGCAAUAUUCUGCAGUUGGAGCGGCGCAAGGGUGCGUAACACGUGGGCAAUCUGCCGUGAAGUUUGGGAUAACUUGCUGAAAGGCGAGCUAAUACCGGAUGUGACAGUUGGGAGGCAUCUCCUGGUUGUUAAAGUUGGGGACCGCAAGGCCUGACGCUUUACGAUGAGCCCGCGGCCUAUCAGCUAGUUGGUGAGGUAACGGCUCACCAAGGCUAAGACGGGUAGCUGGUCUGAGAGGACGACCAGCCACACUGGAACUGAGACACGGUCCAGACACCUACGGGUGGCAGCAGUCGAGAAUUUUUCACAAUGGGCGCAAGCCUGAUGGAGCGACGCCGCGUGGGGGAUGAAUGGCUUCGGCCCGUAAACCCCUGUCAUUUGCGAUCAAACCUUAUUAUUUAAAAGAUGAUGAGCUGAUAGUAGCGAAAGAGGAAGGGACGGCUAACUCUGUGCCAGCAGCCGCGGUAAUACAGAGGUCCCAAGCGUUGUUCGGAUUUACUGGGCGUAAAGGGUGCGUAGGUGGUGGGGUAAGUCGGAUGUGAAAUCUCGGAGCUCAACUCCGAAAUGGCAUUGGAAACUACCCUGCUUGAGGGUCGGAGGGGGGACUGGAAUUCUCGGUGUAGCAGUGAAAUGCGUAAAUAUCGAGAGGAACACCAGUGGCGAAGGCGAGUCCCUGGACGACUCCUGACACUGAGGCACGAAAGCUAGGGGAGCAAACA
rnacentral:rRNA from 1 species